GAUGAAGAACGUAGCGAAAUGCGAUAAGUAAUGUGAAUUGCAGAAUUCAGUGAAUCAUCGAAUCUUUGAACGCACAUUGCGCCCACCAGCAUUCUGGCGGGCAUGCCUGUUCGAGCGUCAUUUCAACCCUCGAGCCCCCCCGGGGGCCUCGGUGUUGGGGGACGGCACACCAGCCGCCCCCGAAAUGCAGUGGCGACCCCGCCGCAGCCUCCCCUGCGUAGUAGCACACACCUCGCACCGGAGCGCGGAGGCGGUCACGCCGUAAAACGCCCAACUUUCUUAGAGUUGACCUCGGAUCAGGUAGGAAUACCCGCUGAACUUAAGCAUAUCAAUAAGCGGAGGA
rnacentral:misc_RNA from 1 species